UACGAAGGGAGCUAGCGUUGUUCGGAAUCACUGGGCGUAAAGCGCACGUAGGCGGAUUUGUCAGUCAGGGGUGAAAUCCCGGGGCUCAACCUCGGAACUGCCUUUGAUACAGCAAGUCUUGAGUUCGAGAGAGGUGGGUGGAAUUCCUAGUGUAGAGGUGAAAUGCGCAGAUAUCAGGAGGAACACCGAUGGCGAAGGCAGCUCGCUGGGACGGUACUGACGCUGAGGCGCGAAAGCGUGGGGAGCAAACAGG
rnacentral:rRNA from 1 species